rnacentral:rRNA from 1 species
AUGCAAGUCGAACGCUUCUUUCCUCCCGAGUGCUUGCACUCAAUUGGAAAGAGGAGUGGCGGACGGGUGAGUAACACGUGGGUAACCUACCCAUCAGAGGGGGAUAACACUUGGAAACAGGUGCUAAUACCGCAUAACAGUUUAUGCCGCAUGGCAUAAGAGUGAAAGGCGCUUUCGGGUGUCGCUGAUGGAUGGACCCGCGGUGCAUUAGCUAGUUGGUGAGGUAACGGCUCACCAAGGCCACGAUGCAUAGCCGACCUGAGAGGGUGAUCGGCCACACUGGGACUGAGACACGGCCCAGACUCCUACGGGAGGCAGCAGUAGGGAAUCUUCGGCAAUGGACGAAAGUCUGACCGAGCAACGCCGCGUGAGUGAAGAAGGUUUUCGGAUCGUAAAACUCUGUUGUUAGAGAAGAACAAGGACGUUAGUAACUGAACGUCCCCUGACGGUAUCUAACCAGAAAGCCACGGCUAACUACGUGCCAGCAGCCGCGGUAAUACGUAGGUGGCAAGCGUUGUCCGGAUUUAUUGGGCGUAAAGCGAGCGCAGGCGGUUUCUUAAGUCUGAUGUGAAAGCCCCCGGCUCAACCGGGGAGGGUCAUUGGAAACUGGGAGACUUGAGUGCAGAAGAGGAGAGUGGAAUUCCAUGUGUAGCGGUGAAAUGCGUAGAUAUAUGGAGGAACACCAGUGGCGAAGGCGGCUCUCUGGUCUGUAACUGACGCUGAGGCUCGAAAGCGUGGGGGAGCAAACAGGAUUAGGAUACCCUG